GACCAUUUUCCUGGUUCCUGCUGAAGAGAAGCAUCCCCAUGAAUUACACUGAGAUCUCAUAUUAACCUACACAAUGGAACUAUUGUGCAGCUCAACAAACACCAGCCUAUUCUUCCUCCUCAAAUGCCUCCAGUGUGACUACAUAAAAGUGGCCCUCCCGGAUGGUGUAGGACAGCUCGUUGAACUCGAGGUCCACAGCGGAGCGCCGCGGGAGGUGGGAGAAGCGCUGAGCCUCUGUGAUGUGGUUCUCCACUUUCUUCAGGUGGGUGAGGAGCGGUG